rnacentral:rRNA from 1 species
AUUGAACGCUGGCGGAAUGCUUUACACAUGCAAGUCGAGCGGCAGCACGGGGGCAACCCUGGUGGCGAGCGGCGAACGGGUGAGUAAUACAUCGGAACAUGCCCAGUCGUGGGGGAUAACACUUCGAAAGAAGUGCUAAUACCGCAUACGUCCUGAGGGAGAAAGCGGGGGAUCUCCGGACCUCGCGCGAUUGGAGUGGCCGAUGUCAGAUUAGCUCGUUGGUGGGGUAAAGGCCUACCAAGGCAACGAUCAGUAGCUGGUCUGAGGGGUUGAUCAGCCACACUGGGACUGGGACACGGACCAGACUCCUACGGGAGGCAGCAGUGGGGAAUUUUGGACAAUGGGCGCAACCCUGAUCCAGCCAUUCCGCGUGAGUGAAGAAGGCCUUCGGGUUGUAAAGCUCUUUCGGCAGGAACGAAACGGCGAGCUCUAACAUAGCUUGCUAAUGACGGUACCUGAAGAAGAAGCACCGGCUAACUACGUGCCAGCAGCCGCGGUAAAAC